CUCUCUCAUUUGUAUUCUCUAUCUCUCUCUACUUACUAAAAAAACUCUCAUCCAUAUUCUCUCUUACUUUCCCCCGAAAACUUCUCUCAUCCCGAACUCUCUAUUCAUGGAUUCCAUUGCCCUGGAAAUAGAUGGAAAUGGAGGCUUCAGAUAUUGGUUUUAGGAAAAGGUUCAGAACUUUGUGAACCUAGGUUUUGGUUCUCGAAGGAGAUCUGGUUCUUGAAAACCCCUUUUGGUUUGAUUAGUUGUUUUUGGGAUCUGUGUUUUUGGUUUCAGGGGUAUUUGGUAGCUUUCGACAGUUUUAAAGUCUAAAACUGCAGUUUUGGCGAGGGUGAAAGACAUGGUUUUGGAGAUCAAGUUCAUGAAACUAGGCUCAAAGCCUGAUUUCUUCGAGAUGGCAAUAACACAAGGUUGAAAUUGCACUGCUUUGUAUGAUUGUUGGAGUCAAACUUGUUUUUGUGAAUCCUCCUAAUUGUCAUCAAAGUGUUGAUUUAAUGGCUUGAGUACUUUCAGCUGCCCCCAUUUCUCUGAUUCCUUUUGAUUUUUAACCUUCAAUUUCGAAAUAUAAUACGUCUUUUCUUGUGCUUGUCAUUCACGAACUGCAAAUUAGAAAAGUAGAUUCAUAUCAUAAAUACGCAAAUUUGAUACACAAAAAAAGAAUAUCAUUGUAAUAAAGUCGAUUCAUAUCGUAAAUACACAAAUUUGAAAACCAUUUUAGCAGUUUUAUUGCCCAACAUAAUUUCUGUACCAAUAUAAGAUAGAGAAGACACAAAAAUCCUUUUCUUCACUUUGAUUCAAUUCUCAGAAGGCUCAUACCUCUUGUGUUAAUUUUGCAGUUGUUUUUUUUUUUUUUUUUUGUCAUUUUCAUUUAUGUGUUGUCCUUACUCAUUCCUCGUUGUUGUGUGAUGUGCAUAUUAGGACAAGGUUAUUAGAUCUGGUUGGUGAAGAGGCAAAUGCAGGCAAUGCUCUAGAAAACAUAUGGAGGUUUAUGCUCUCAUUGAAACUUAUGCAUGUUAGGAUAACUAACCUUUCUAUACGUAUUAAUUACUAACUAUAAUUCUCUUUCUCAUACUGGUACAUAUUGCAUUUAUUUGUCUUUUGCCUUACGGAGUAUUGCGCAAUGUAUAGAUGUUGACUUGUCUUGCCCGAUUUGUCAUUAGAGAUUUGAUCCUUUUUUCUUUUUUUGAAGCUAAUUUUUUUUCCCUUUUUGGGGUGGAUAAUAAUAUAUAAUUGAUUUAUUAAAAAAUAUAUUAUCGUUUUUCUUGUACUAGGAAAUGAGACCCUCAAUAUAAAGUGGCUGACUGAGAGAUGUUGUGGGGCUCACCCUAAUUUUUUUUCUUCCCUUUAAAUAGUAAUAGAACAUCAUCGAAUUGUAGCAUAUGCAGCCUACCGAUGCAAAGACCCAAAAACAUUCAUCAAUGCCUUGCCCUAGGCCCUCACUGGGACCCUGAGUUUCUUUGUUACCUGCUAUCAUGUUUAUCUAUAUUAUGAACUUGUGAAUUAUCAACAAGUCAAUUCAAAGAAUUCGAAGUGGGGGUCGAAAUCAAACAAUAUAAAAUUGGAGCUUGAGUUUGACUUGAACUUUAACCACAAAGCUUUAACACAAGCGAAGCCUAGGCACUACCAAGCUUGGCUUCUUACACGUUCAAGGCCUGUGGCGUAAUGUUAUAUAUGUAAGGUGUGGAGUCGAAGUUAAUACAAAUUUUUUACAGGAGGGAAAAAAUGGGUGAUGAUCAGUUGAUUUAUUGCAUUCAUGGUGGAGAAUUCCGACGAACGGGUGAGAUCACACUGGUGGUGAUGCAUCUGCUUAUUUUGUUAAUAGUAAAACUAGGUUAGAUGACAUGCAAAAGUAUUGUGCAUAGCAUUUCUCAAUUGAUGUGCACAAGAUAACAUUUAAGUAUUUUGUCUCGAGGAAUAAGAGAAUUCUUGGGAACUUAUUUA